GACGAACGCUGGCGGCGUGCUUAACACAUGCAAGUCGAACGGAAAGGCCCUGCUUUUGUUGGUUUCUCGAGUGGCGAACGGGUGAGUAACACGUGAGUAACCUGCCCUUGACUUUGGGAUAACUUCAGGAAACUGGGGCUCAUACCGGAUAGGAUCUCCUGCUGCAUGGUGGGGGUUGGAAAGUUUCGGCGGUUGGGGAUGGACUCGCGGCUUAUCAGCUUGUUGGUGGGGUAGUGGCUUACCAAGGCUUUGACGGGUAGCCGGCCUGAGAGGGUGACCGGCGACAAUGGGACUGAGAUACGGCCCAGACUCCUACGGGAGGCAGCAGUGGGGAAUAUUGCACAAUGGGCGGAAGCCAGAUGCAGCAACGCCGCGUGCGGGAUGACGGCCUUCGGGUUGUAAACCGAUUUCGCCUGUGACGAAGAGGGAGUGACGGUAAUGGGUAAAGAAGCACCGGCUAACUACGUG
rnacentral:rRNA from 1 species